AAUUCAUCCCAGCAUCAGUGAAGUCAGAGUGUGAUUUACCACUGAAGUCGAUAGCCCUGGAUUGCAGCCAGGUAAUGUAAAAUGGACUUAGAGGCGUGCUCAGCACAAAGGUAUGUCCUUGAGAAAGCAGGUUAAUGCAAGCAAGAGCUGCCCUCUGGAACUUCAUGCAGACUAGCACUUGGAUGUCUUCAGGAAAUGAACACAAGUGGGAAAGUAUCUGUGAUGGAAAAGGGACUUGGCUUACUCUAAGGGUGGAAAUGAAGCAAAUCAGGCCUGGACAGACUGGAGAGGGCUUCAGACACAGAACAAAUCGAGGGCUGCCAAUCACUGUCUGACCCAAAGAAAGAAGCUGUGUAUCUCCAGGAGUCAUAGCUUGUAACCUGACUGCAAAACUCAAGAGACACACAUGUAGAAUGACAUAGUCAAACAAACUGUAUUCUACUUGAAUGUUAAAAUGAGAAACAGACUGUAACCAGAACAUCUUUGAAAUCUGAUGGGAUAAAAAGAAUUGGAGGCCCCUGUUCCCAAAACUGCAUUAAAAACAUUGAAGACAAUGAGACUGUACAGUGCACUGAGAGCUGUGCAUAUGCUUGGGUCAGAAAAAACACUGUCAGAAAAGGCCAAAUGGACUGGAAGAGGUUGUACAUGUUAGAGUAGGGGGAGAAGCAGGAAAAGGAGACAGAUGAUGAAGGAGAACUUCCUAUGGCUGGAGGCUGCUAAGUACAUGAAGAAAUGGGACAGGCAGUUUGGAAGUGUUCUGCAGGCGAGGACACAGAUCACAUUGCUGAUGAGAUAAAAGGAAGAAGCCAAUGAAGAGUCACAAAGAGAGUGAGUUGGCCAAUGGGAACUGUUACUCAUUCUAGCUGCAAACCUGAGGCUAUCUGAAUCAUAAGAACAAAACAAAGAAGUGCAUUUUCUCACAAAAGAUGAGCAUGUGCUCCCAGCAGGAUGAAACCAAUCCUUACAAAUACAGAGGUUGUAUUUUAAAAUCUGUUCCAAAAAAGACAUUUUAGAUGAACAGCUGACAGCAUGAUCAUUACAAGUUGUUGUAUGAUUUGAGGAAUCAGAUCUCCAGAAGGUAUAAGUUUAAUAGGGCAGUUUCAAAGACUGCAUAAUCCAUAGCUCUUUCAUGAACAGGCCUUCUGAGCUGCAACAGCAGCGCAGUUUUAGAGCAAAUCCCUCCCUUUGCAUGUCUUCAAUACGCUGAUGUGAAGAGGAUAUUACUGCACACUACAGGUAGAAUAAAACCAUAACAACUUCCUCAGAAAGCUACAACUUGGUAGCAAUGUUUUUCUUGCUUACAUUCAUGAAUGUUUUAUUCUUACUACUCACGGACCAUAUAUAUCCAUCAAAAUACUUAAUGAAAAUCUGAAGCUACUAAAAUCAUUCAAUCCUAAAAAAGAAACAUAGGCAUGAAAUUGCUGAGAUGUCUGUCAUAUGCCACUUUAAUUGGACUUUUCUAUGUGAUUUUAUUUUCUUUCAAAAUUUUACACUGCUUAGUUUCACUGGUGUGCUGAUGGAGUAUCAGUUUGGAAACCUGAAAAUUCACAUCUUUUCCAUGAAACCCCAGGAUGUAACAUCAGAAGAUGGUUGGAGCUAGUUGGUGAUGGGAACUGGAUGAUCUUUCAUCCAGUUCCUUCCAACCUAAGCCAUUCUAUAAUUUCUUUCCCUACAGCCUUUCACAUAUUGCUGGGAUGCUUACAGUUUCUUGAAAAGUAAAGUUUAACAGUAUUUGUAAAAAUAUAAAUCAGCAAUAAUUAAGAUAGAUGGUGACUAAUGCUCAGGCAAAUGAUAAGAAGAAUUUAAUUGAUGGGUAUGGAUAAUAAAAUCCCAACGUUUCAUUCAUGCUACAGCAAUGGCAAAUUGAGCCUGAGGCAUCUAGCUGAGAUACUGCUCAGCAUCAACAGCAGAG
ensembl:lncRNA